UUAACGUACCGAGUAGGAGCCUUCGUGCUGCAGUUGGGUGGGGUUGGAAAGUUUCGGCGGUUGGGGAUGGACUCGCGGCUUAUCAGCUUGUUGGUGGGGUAGUGGCUUACCAAGGCUUUGACGGGUAGCCGGCCUGAGAGGGUGACCGGCCACAUUGGGACUGAGAUACGGCCCAGACUCCUACGGGAGGCAGCAGUGGGGAAUAUUGCACAAUGGGCGGAAGCCUGAUGCAGCAACGCCGCGUGCGGGAUGACGGCCUUCGGGUUGUAAACCGCUUUCGCCUGUGACGAAGCGUGAGUGACGGUAAUGGGUAAAGAAGCACCGGCUAACUACGUG
rnacentral:rRNA from 1 species